rnacentral:rRNA from 1 species
GAGUUUGAUCCUGGCUCAGGAUAAACGCUGGCGNCGUGCCUAACACAUGCAAGUCGAACGUCCUCUUCUUUCGGGAAGAGGGAGUGGCGCACGGGUGAGUAAGACGUGGGAACCUACCCUUCAGUGAGGAAUACCACCGGGAAACCGGUGACAAGACCGCAUAGGCUCUCUUGAGAAAGAGAGCAAAGCUUCUUUUCGGAGAGGCGCUGGAGGAGGGGCCUGCGGCCGAUUAGCUGGCUGGUGGGGUAAAGGCCUACCAGGGCGACGAUCGGUAGCUGGUCUGAGAGGACGAGCAGCCACACUGGGAUUGAGAACGGCCCAGACUCCUACGGGGGGCAGCAGUGAGGAAUUUUCGGCAAUGGGGGCAACCCUGACCGAGCAACGCCGCGUGCAGGAAGAGGGCCUUCGGGUUGUAAACUGCUUUUCUCUGGGACGAGUAGGGACGGUACCAGAGGAAUCAGCCUCGGCUAACUACGUGCCAGCAGCCGCGGUAAUACGUAGGAGGCAAGCGUUGUCCGGAGUUACUGGGCGUAAAGCGCACGCAGGCGGUCUUGUCAGUCUGGGGUGACAGUUUCCGGCUUCACCGGGAAAGUGCUCUGGAAACUGCAAGACUUGAGGGCUUCAGAGGGAUGUGGAAUUCCAGGUGGAGUGGUGAAAUGCGUAGAGAUCUGGAAGAACACCAAAGGCGAAGGCAGCAUCCUGGGAAGUUCCUGACGCUCGGGUGCGAAAGCCAGGGGAGCGAACGGGAUUAGAUACCCCGGUAGUCCUGGCCGUAAACGAUGACCACUAGACGUUGGGGGUAUCGACCCCUUCAGUGUCGUAGUUAACACGCUAAGUGGUCCGCCUGGGGAGUACGGUCGCAAGAUUAAAACUCAAAGGAAUUGACGGGGACCCGCACAAGCAGCGGAGCGUGUGGUUUAAUUCGAUGCAACGCGAAGCACCUUACCAGGACUUGACAUGGAUUCGCACCGACGGUAACGCGUCGUACUCUUCGGAGACGGAUCCACAGGUGCUGCAAGGCUGUCGUCAGCUCGUGUCGUGAGAUGUUGGGUUCAGUCCCGCAACGAGCGCAACCCCUGUCGUUAGUUGGAUUUUUCUAGCGAGACUGCCGGUCAAACGGAGGAAGGCGGGGACGACGUCAAGUCAGCACGGCCCUUACGUUCUGGGCGACACACACGCUACAAUGGUUAGGACAAUGGGAUGCGAACCCGCGAGGGGGAGCCGAUCUAAGCAAACCUGGCCUCAGUUCAGAUUGGAGGCUGCAACCCGCCUCCAUGAAGUUGGAGUUGCUAGUAACCGCAAGUCAGCACAUUGCGGUGAAUACGUUCCCGAGUCUUGUACACACCGCCCGUCACACCACGAAAGUCGGCAACACCUGAAGCCGCUGGGCUAACCCGCAAGGGAGGCAAGCGUCGAGGGUGGGGUCGGUGAUUGGGGUGAAGUCGUAACAAGGUAGC